rnacentral:rRNA from 1 species
GUAACGGCGAGUGAAGCGGCAAAAGCUCAAAUUUGAAAUCUGGCCCUUUCAGGGUCCGAGUUGUAAUUUGUAGAGGAUGCUUCGGGAGCGGCGGCGGUCUAAGUCCCCUGGAACGGGGCGUCAUAGAGGGUGAGAAUCCCGUAUGCGGUCAGGUGCCUACGCUCAUGUGAAACUCCUUCGACGAGUCGAGUUGUUUGGGAAUGCAGCUCAAAAUGGGUGGUAAAUUUCAUCUAAAGCUAAAUAUUGGCCAGAGACCGAUAGCGCACAAGUAGAGUGAUCGAAAGAUGAAAAGCACUUUGGAAAGAGAGUUAAACAGUACGUGAAAUUGUUGAAAGGGAAGCGCUUGCAACCAGACUUGCGCGCGGCUGAUCAUCCGGUGUUCUCACUGGUGCACUCGGUCGCGCUCAGGCCAGCAUCGGUUUUGGUGGUUGGAUAAAGGCCUUAGGAAUGUAGCUCCUCUCGGGGAGUGUUAUAGCCUAGGGUGCAAUGCAGCCUACCGGGACCGAGGACCGCGCU